rnacentral:lncRNA from 1 species
CUCAUCUCAAAGACAAUUAAUAGCCUGUGGUCUCCACAUAAACAGCAACAAGACAAGGACUCACAGGCACUGGACAGCUAAGCAGCAGAUCUGCUGGGAAGUGGUCAGGUCUUCAAUGAAAAGCUGUGACACAUUCCACACAUCCACCAUCAGGUCAGCCACAAUUCUGAGGUUCUGAAAACUUACGUGCACCACUAGAAAACCACUCUUGCUACAGAUCACUCCAAGAUACUUGUCACCAACCAAUCACUUUAUUUGGCUUAACUCACUUACCAAUUAGUUUUGUUUGUAAUACAAAGAAGAAAGCAAUAUAAAAUACCAAAAAUAAACAAGUGAGAAACACUUGGAAAGAUAGGUUA